CUGGUUGAUCCUGCCAGACCCGACUGCUAUCGGAUUGGGACUAAGCCAUGCGAGUCAACUCCGCAAGGGGUGGCGCACGGCUCAGUAACACGUAGUCAACCUACCCUGGGGACGGGGAUAACCUCGGGAAACUGAGGCUAAACCCCGAUGGGCCAUGGCUCCUGGAAUGGGCUAUGGUUGAAAUCUACAUGGCCCCAGGAUGGGACUGCGGCCGAUCAGGUUGUUGGUGGGGUAAUGGCCCACCAAGCCUAUAACCGGUGCGGGCUCUGAGAGGAGGAGCCCGGAGAUGGGCACUGAGACAAGGGCCCAGGUCCUAUGGGGCGCAGCAGGCGCGAAACCUCCGCAAUGGGCGAAAGCCCGACGGGGUCAGUCCGAGUGGUUCCCGCUGAGGGAACCUUUUGCCAGCUGUAAACAGGCUGGCGAAUAAGGGGUGGGCAAGUUUGGUGUCAGCCGCCGCGGUAAUACCAGCACCCCGAGUGGUCGGGACGAUUAUUGGGCCUAAAGCAUCCGUAGCCGGCCCAGUAAGUCCUCCGUUAAAUCCAACGGCUCAACCGUUGGGCUGCGAGGGAUACUGCUGGGCUAGGGGACGGGAGAGGCGAGGGGUAUUCCCGGGGUAGGGGUAAAAUCCACUGAUCCCGGGAGGACCACCAGUGGCGAAGGCGCCUCGCUAGAACGUGCCCGACGGUGAGGGAUGAAAGCUGGGGGAGCGAACCGGAUUAGAUACCCGGGUAGUCCCAGCCGUAAACGAUGUAGGCUCGGUGUUGGGCUGCCUCAGUGGCAGCCCAGUGCCGCAGGGAAGCCGUUAAGCCUACCGCCUGGGGAGUACGGCCGCAAGGCUGAAACUUAAAGGAAUUGGCGGGGGAGCACCAC
rnacentral:rRNA from 1 species